CUUAUCAUUGUUGUGAUUUGUGUUGUGACUGUGAGACUCCCGCAGUCAUGGCGGACAGAGCGAAGCGAUCAAAGGUCUGGGUGCACUUUCAAAAAUUGAGUGGCGAUAGUGCAAAGUGCAAUCUUUGUACUCAAGUCGUUGCUUGUAAAGGGGGUAACACAAGCAACUUGAUGAAGCAUUUGCAAACGAGACACUCGUUGAAUCUCAAACGGUGCAGCAUAUUUGACAGCCUAGUAAACACUGUGGCUGCUAGUAAUGCUAGUGCUAAUAGUGCUAGCAUUAGCACAACAACAACGUCUUCCUCCUCAGUGCAACCUGGUGCGAGUUGCGGGACGGCUGCCUCGACUUCGACACGUGAAGGGAGAUGACCACAGCCCUUAACCCUAAUUACCACCCCCCUUCCAGAGACACUCUGUCCAACACACUCAUACCUGCUUGGUAUAACAUCGAAAAAGAGAACCUGAGGGCAGAGCUUGCCAGUGUGGAAAAAGUUGCCAUUACAAGUGAUGGGUGGACCAGUAUUACACAGGACCACUACAUAACGGUCACGCUCCACUACAUUAACCAAGGCCAGUUGAAGCAGAAAGUCCUUAAGACACAGGCAGUAUAUGAGUCUCAGAGUGGGCCUGUUGUUGCUGAACAAAUAGAUGAAGUCCUGGCUGAAUUUGGGGUGAGACAGAAGGUCGUCGCCGUAACUGUCGACAACGCUCCAAAUAUGGAUGUGGCUGUACGACAGCUACAAACAAAAAAGCUUGGAUGCUUUGCGCAUUCUCUAAACCUAGGGGCACAAAAGGUUUACAAUGUGCAAGCUAUCUCCAAGUGGUCAGCAAGGAUCCGGGAUGUGAUCGUUUGGAUCAAAAGAUCCUCAAUGAUUAAGACCAUUUUCAAAGAGAAGCAGCGUCUCCUGGGUAAGAAACUUUGCCUCAUUGUUUCAGUGUAAUUCAGACAGGACAGGAGGAAUAAAUACAUUUUAAUUGGUCAUCAUUUAUAUAUUUCAGGCCUACCUGACCAUUCUGUGGUCCUUGAUGUCAAAACCCGCUGGAAUUCUCUUUAUCUCAUGGUGGAGAGAUUUGUGGAGCAAUAUCCUGCAAUACAGGCAGCAUUCUUGGACCCGCGUGCCAAAAAGCUCAUGAAGAGAGACAGACUUGAAGAGAUCACAGAUGAAGACUUCAGGAGGGCUGAGGACUUUGUCAGUCUGAUGCGCAUGCUGUAUACAAGUACCCUGUGUGUGUCAAGCGACAAGUCUUCUACAUGUGGCCAGAUAAUUCCCAUUCU